rnacentral:rRNA from 1 species
GGAAUCUUCCACAAUGGGCGCAAGCCUGAUGGAGCAACGCCGCGUGAGUGAAGAAGAUCUUCGGAUCGUAAAACUCUGUUGUUAGAGAAGAACACGAGUGAGAGUAACUGUUCAUUCGAUGACGGUAUCUAACCAGCAAGUCACGGCUAACUACGUGCCAG